rnacentral:tRNA from 1 species
GACGAGGUGGCCGAGUGGUUAAGGCGUUAGACUGCUAAUCCAAUGUGCUCUGCACGCGUGGGUUCAAAUCCCAUCCUCGUCG